GUAAUAUUCCCUUUUAUUAGAACUAACCGUAAUGUACUUAUACUAUUAAAAAUUGAGAGGUAUAAUAUUAUUCACGUGGAUAUAUAGCCUUCGUGAAAUAUUCCUUUGAUGAUGAUCAACUAUUCUACAUACAAUCAUUAAUAAAAAUACAUAUACAACCCAAAUACAAACCCACUUUUAAUAAUAACCACCAUUCGACGUCAAAUAAUAAUAAUAAUAAUAAUAAUAACCACCUUCUAAAUACCACAUGGAAUCGUCACACUGCUUCUAAAUAUAAAACUUGAUAUAUAUAUUACUCCAUAAUUGUAGGAACUUCAAUAUUUAUCCCAAAAAAUAAUAUCACGUAUAUGCUUUUCUUUAUUCAAAAGGGUAAUUAUAUUUUUGUAUUUUUUCUUUACUCCUAUUUGUACCUAAAUAUAUGACCAUAUCUAAUUUAAAUUCGGAGUAUUUAUUUAACAAAAAAAAACAUUUCAGGAAUCAAAUAGAUUAUUUUCAUCUCAAUUUCGAAAUAUGGUUAUCUAACCACUACGUUAAGAUAACCCUACGUUAUAUAACUGUAUAUAAAUUAUAUUUCUUUAACAUAUAAAAAAAAAUUACAGAAAAAUGUUACAUAUUUACAAAAACAUAAAAAACAAAAAAUUACAAACCAACAUUAUACCCGCGGGUCAAGAUGUAGAACAUACAAAUAUGAUUACAACGAAACGGGUAUACGGACAUAUGAUUAUAAAGAACCGAGCAAACGCCGGAUCAACUUUUAAAUUGUUAUUAUUUUAUAAAAUAGGUUUUGAUUACGAUUUAUACACAAAUAUGAUUAGAAAGAAAAACACAAAUAUGAUUACAAAAACAAAUACAAAUAUAAAAAUUAAAUUUAAAAAAAAAUUAAAACAAAAAUAUACCUGCCUUUUAAAGGGCAGAUCAAAAUCUAGUAAUUGUAUUAAAAUAGUUGGACACGACUAAUAUCAACAGGGCAUGAUCCAGAUUUAAUAGUAUUGAUGGUAAUUUCAAAAGUUAUAUGCCGUUGUCAAAUAGCCCACUACCCAAAGAAAUAGGGAGUUACAUUUUUUUACAUCAGAUAAGUAGUUAUGUUUUAAACUUUUAAAACCAUAAUAUUAGAUGCUACAUAAAUUAAGAAGUUAUUUUUUCCUUUUUGGAAGAGUAAAACAUGUAAAUAAUUAGUUGGACACAACUAAUAUCAACAGGGCAUGAUCCAGAUUUAAUAGUAUUGAUGUUAAUUUCAAAAGUUAUAUGCGGUUGUCAAAU
rnacentral:lncRNA from 1 species